rnacentral:lncRNA from 1 species
UUCCACUGGUGUUAAACCCCUGGUCUAGUGCCUUAACUGGGCAGUGCAUUUCAUGUGUAAUAGCCGUGUUGUAUACUUUGGGUGAGUAUUAAAAACGGUUUCAAAUUGUGUGUAGAAUUCCAUAUGUUGUCUGGAAUCGUGUUCUGCUUUUCAUGCAGAAACAGAACAGAAGAAACAGCAUGUAUUUAUUAAAGUCAUAUAUCUUUAGAUAGCUUAACCUCUGCUUUAUAAAUUGUAUUUAGCAUCAGUAUCAUAUUCUGUCUUAAUCUACUAUUGCAUUUUAAACCCUG